ACUGUAGCGCAGUCGGUAGCGCAACUGAUUCGUAAUCAGUAGGUCGCCGGUUCGAGUCCGGCCAGU
rnacentral:tRNA from 1 species